GACGAACGCUGGCGGCGUGCUUAACACAUGCAAGUCGAACGGAAAGGCCCUGCUUUUGUGGGGUGCUCGAGUGGCGAACGGGUGAGUAACACGUGAGUAACCUGCCCUUGACUUUGGGAUAACUUCAGGAAACUGGGGCUAAUACUGGAUAGGAGCUCCUGCUGCAUGGUGGGGGUUGGAAAGUUUCGGCGGUUGGGGAUGGACUCGCGGCUUAUCAGCUUGUUGGUGGGGUAGUGGCUUACCAAGGCUUUGACGGGUAGCCGGCCUGAGAGGGUGACCGGCCACAUUGGGACUGAGAUACGGCCCAGACUCCUACGGGAGGCAGCAGUGGGGAAUAUUGCACGAUGGGCGGAAGCCUGAUGCAGCAACGCCGCGUGCGGGAUGACGGCCUUCGGGUUGUAAACCGCUUUCGCCUGUGACGAAGCGUGAGUGACGGUAAUGGGUAAAGAAGCACCGGCUAACUACGUG
rnacentral:rRNA from 1 species